CCCUUAGAUGUUCGGAGCUGCACGCGCGCUACACUGAAGGAAGCAGCGUGUUAGAGUACCUGGUUUGAAAAAACUGGGUAAUCCGGUGAAUGUCCUUCGUGAUUGGGAUAGGCACUUGUAAUUAUUUGCCUUGAACGAGGAAUACCUAGUAAGUGCGAGUCAUCAGCUUGCGCUGACUACGUCCCUGCCCCUUGUACACACCGCCCGUCGCUGCCCGGAACUGAGCCGUUUCGAGAAAAGCGGGGACUGCUGCUGUCGGGGCUUUCGGGCCUUGGCUUCGGUGGAAACCGCUUUAAUCGCAGUGGCUUGAACCGGGCAAAAGUCGUAACA
rnacentral:rRNA from 1 species